CCUACGGGGGGCAGCAGUGAGGAAUAUUGGUCAAUGGACGAGAGUCUGAACCAGCCAAGUAGCGUGAAGGAUGACUGCCCUAUGGGUUGUAAACUUCUUUUAUAAAGGAAUAAAACGAGGCACGUGUGCCUUUUUGCAUGUACUUUAUGAAUAAGGAUCGGCUAACUCCGUGCCAGCAGCCGCGGUAAUACGGAGGAUCCGAGCUUUAUCCGGAUUUAUUGGGGUUAAAGGGAGCGUAGAUGGGUUGUUAAGUCAGUUGUGAAAUUUUGCGGCUCAACCGUAAAAUUGCAAUUGAUACUGGCAGUCUUGAGUACAGUUGAGGUAGGCGGAAUUCGUGGUGUAGCGGUGAAAUGCUUAGAUAUCACGAAGAACCCCGAUUGCGAAGGCAGCUUACUAAACUGUGACUGACAUUGAUGCUCGAAAGUGUGGGUAUCAAACAGGAUUAGAUACCCGAGUAGUC
rnacentral:rRNA from 1 species